UACAGAGGUGCUCAAGCGUUGUUCGGAUUCAUUGGGCGUAAAGGGUGUGUAGGUGGCGCGUAAGUACGGUGGUGAAAAUUUCGGAGCUUAACUCCGUAAACUGCGAUUCGAUACUGGAGCGUGCUUGGAGGACUGGAGAGGAGACUAGGAAUUUGACGGUGUAGCAGUGAAAUGACGUAGAUAUCGAUGAAGGAAGACCAGUGGCGGAAAGGCGGGUCUCUGGACGAAGCUUCCGAUGACCACUGGAGAACACGGAAAGGCCAGGGGAGCAAAACGGG
rnacentral:rRNA from 1 species